GUCGAGAAGCUUCGGCAAUGGGCGAAAGCCUGACCGAGCGACGCCGCGUGAGCGAUGAAGGCCCUAGUGGUUGUAAAGCUCUGUCAGAUUGGGAAUAAAUGCCGGGGGCGAAUAACCCCCGGAGCUGAAGGUACCAUCAGAGGAAGCACCGGCUAACUCCGUGCCAGCAGCCGCGGUAAUACGGAGGGUGCGAGCGUUGUUCGGAUUCACUGGGUAUAAAGGGUGUGUAGGCGGUCCUGCAAGUCAGAGGUGAAAGCCGUCGGCUUAACCGGCGAACUGCCUUUGAAACUGUAGGACUUGAGUCCGGGAGAGGAAGGUGGAAUUCCUGGUGUAGCGGUGAAAUGCGUAAAUAUCAGGAGGAACACCGGUGGCGAAGGCGGCCUUCUGGCCCGGUACUGACGCUGAGGCACGAAAGCCAGGGGAGCAAACGGGAUUAGAAACCCGAGUAGUCC
rnacentral:rRNA from 1 species